rnacentral:rRNA from 1 species
UACGGAGGGUGCAAACGUUGCUCGGAAUUAUUGGGCGUAAAGCGCGCGUAGGCGGCCCUGUAAGUCCGUUGUGAAAGUCAAAGGCUCAACCUUUGAAAGCCGAUGGAUACUGCAGGGCUAGAGUCCGGAAGAGGCGAGUGGAAUUCCUGGUGUAGCGGUGGAAUGCGCAGAUAUCAGGAGGAACACCAAUAGCGAAGGCAGCUCGCUGGGACGGUACUGACGCUAAGGCGCGAAAGCGUGGGGAGCGAACAGG